UUACGGUCAAAUCACGCUGAAAACACCGGUUCUCGUUCGAUCACCGAAGUUAAGCAUCGUAGAGCCAGGUCAUUACUUAGAUGGGGGACCGCUUGGGAACACCUGGUACUGUAAG